ACAAUGGAGAGUUUGAUCCUGGCUCAGGAUUAACGCUAGCGGCAGGCCUAAUACAUGCAAGUCGAACGGCAGCGGGUGUAGCAAUACAUGCCGGCGAGUGGCGCACGGGUGCGUAACGCGUAUGCAAUCUACCUAUAACUGGGGAAUAGCCUUCCGAAAGGAAGAUUAAUACCGCAUAACAUCACGAAACGGCAUCGUUUUGUGAUCAAAACUCAGGUGGUUAUAGAUGAGCAUGCGUGACAUUAGCUAGUUGGUGAGGUAACGGCUCACCAAGGCGACGAUGUCUAGGGGGUCUGAGAGGAUGAUCCCCCACACUGGUACUGAGACACGGACCAGACUCCUACGGGAGGCAGCAGUGAGGAAUAUUGGUCAAUGGGCGCGAGCCUGAACCAGCCAAGUCGCGUGAAGGAUGAAGGUGCUAUGCAUUGUAAACUUCUUUUGUCCCGGAAUAAACCCCUGAUUUCUAUCGGGGCUGAAUGUACGGGAAGAAUAAGGGACGGCUAACUUCGUGCCAGCAGCCGCGGUAAUACGAAGGUCCCAAGCGUUAUCCGGAUUUAUUGGGUUUAAAGGGUGCGUAGGCGGGUUGUUAAGUCAGUGGUGAAAGCCUACAGCUCAACUGUAGAAUUGCCAUUGAUACUGACGAUCUUGAGUAUGGUUGAGGAGGGCGGAAUGUGUCAUGUAGCGGUGAAAUGCUUAGAUAUGACACAGAACACCGAUUGCGAAGGCAGCUCUCUAAGCCAAUACUGACGCUGAUGCACGAAAGCGUGGGGAGCAAACAGGAUUAGAUACCCUGGUAGUCCACGCCCUAAACGAUGAUCACUCGAUGUGUGCGAUAUACUGUACGCGUCUAAGCGAAAGCAUUAAGUGAUCCACCUGGGGAGUACGACCGCAAGGUUGAAACUCAAAGGAAUUGACGGGGGCCCGCACAAGCGGAGGAGCAUGUGGUUUAAUUCGAUGAUACGCGAGGAACCUUACCAGGGCUUGAAAGUUAGUGAAGGAUGUGGAAACAUGUCCGUCAGCAAUGACACGAAACUAGGUGCUGCAUGGCUGUCGUCAGCUCGUGCCGUGAGGUGUUGGGUUAAGUCCCGCAACGAGCGCAACCCCUAUCAUUAGUUGCCAACAGGUUAAGCUGGGGACUCUAAUGAGACUGCCCGCGCAAGCGGUGAGGAAGGUGGGGAUGACGUCAAGUCAUCACGGCCCUUACGUCCUGGGCUACACACGUGCUACAAUGGCCGAUACAACGGGCAGCCACAUGGCAACAUGGAGCUAAUCCUAAAAGUCGGUCUCAGUUCGGAUCGAGGUCUGCAACCCGACCUCGUGAAGCUGGAAUCGCUAGUAAUCGCGCAUCAGCCAUGGCGCGGUGAAUACGUUCCCGGGCCUUGUACACACCGCCCGUCAAGCCAUGGGAGUUGGGAGUACCUGAAGUCGAUCACCGCAAGGAGUCGCCUAGGGUAAAACCAAUGACUGGGGCUAAGUCGUAACAAGGUAGCCGUACCGGAAGGUGCGGCUGGAACACCUCCUUU
rnacentral:rRNA from 1 species